rnacentral:rRNA from 1 species
AUGGAAGAUGAUGCAAGCAGAGGAGAGUAUUUAAUUGUCCAUAACAUCUGCCUCAUGGAAUCGAGGCAAAGUGUGAACCACUUUGGAUCCCUGUAUGCACAUCUUGAGGUUCUGAGAAAAGAAAGGUCAAGGAUAUACUGGCUCAUUAUUAAUGAACUUACAGCUCGGCAUCCGGAUUGGGAGAAGGAGGAUGUGUUGCAGAACUUCUAUGUAGAGGAUACUUAUGAUUAUAAAGAUCCCCAAACCGGUGAAAGAACACAUUAUGAACAUGAUUCAAGAGGUCUUCUCAGAUUAGCCUGGAACUUAAGCAAACACAUUCUUCCAAAGUCAGUGGUAUUUAUACCAGCUCCAGUCCGAAAAGGAGAGAAGUUCAAAAGGCUAGUGGCUGUCAGGAAGUUCACUGACAGAAAGAUUGAGUCGAUCAUAAAGUCAUCAUUCAUUGGGUUGAUGAUGGACCUUCAAGAACUAAUGCACAAGUAUGGUCAGCUGGAGCGGUUCUACGUGGAAGAGUGGAUGGGCACGGCUUAG